rnacentral:rRNA from 1 species
AAUGGUUACGUCGGGACUGCGCGGAGUGAAUGGACGGGCAAAAAUUAGGGGGGCCGUUUGGUUUAAAUUAGGGAAAAGGAAAAGAGUUUUCUAAUGCACUCUCGCCCCCUCAAAUCUUUCUUUUCGUUUUCUUCUUCUUCUUCUUCUUCUUUUUUCUUUGCUUUAACCCUCCUCUCGAGCACUCCCGAGGGUUUAAUGCAUCCUCUAUUCGCUUUAGGGGUUUAAAGAGGGGGGUAGAGGAGGGGGCAGGCGUCAGCAAACUCACCGGACGCUCGCUCGCUCGCGGGGGGUCGAGGCAGAAGGGGCGCGCGUCAUGCUCGCACGUCGGCUCUCGAAGCGAAACGACGACGAAAACACAAAGGGCUGGCUAAUAAAAGAACAGAAAACAGGCAUAAAAGGGCCAUAAUAGGACUAAACGCCACCAAAGAGCCACUAAAACGGCGCAGGCGCGAGCCCGCCCCCUAGACAUUAAAGACGCGGACCAGACGGUUUAGGAGAGCGGCCCCGAACCUAAUGGUUGGUGGGGCGUAAUAAAAAGGUAAAGCAAGACCAAAUGGCAAAGAACGAGGGCAAAAGAAAAGCAAAAAAGGAGUAAAAAGGGCAGUAAACGCCGGAGGAGGGUGAGCAGGGUUCUAUGACACUCGAGACAAGCAGCAGUUUCUAAAGCUCGAGACACGCGCGCCGCACCCCAAAUACCAAAAGAAUAUCGACGACGGCUCGAACGAACAAGACGAAGACCCAUCCUCGAAACCGAAGACGAAAAAAAACUCCUUACUACCUCCACUCCCGCAGCGUCCUCGUCGUCUCUCCCUACCGGCCCUCCCUCGGCAAGCCUGACGGGUUGUCGGGCGGGUGCGGCGUCAGGAGGCCUGGGCACGGGUUGUACGCGUACUGGAUGCCGCUCCUGCCGUUGCGGAUGAAGGAAUUCGGCCCGAGUCGAGGCGGCGGCCGCCUCCGCAUGGUCGGUCCCCCUCCGCGACCGGAGUUGUACGGCCGACCGGGGUUGCGCCGACGACGCCCCCCGUUACCGCCCGGUCGCAAGCUCGAGUUGUACCUCCUCCUCCGGCGGUUCUUCGCGCCGGCGCGUUACUUCAUGCCGCUGCUGCCGAGGUGCAGGGACCGUAACCACGGGCACGGGUACGGGCUCCUCGGAUGACGUCACCGCGGGCCACUAAGGCCCCGAAAGAGCCGCGGCCGGCAGUUUGGCCGCCGCCCGCCGCACGACCGCCACGGCGGCCACCCCUACUUCUUCGCCCCAGCGGGUUUCCCGAGGUGGUUGUUCCACUUCUUCGUUCUGUUCCAGUACAGACGCGAACGAAAGUAGCCCUGACGUCCUCGACCGAAAUGAGGUGUACAUUAACGACAAGUUCGACCUCUCCUACACCGACGUUUCUAGGACAGUAAACGCGUCGUACCUCAAGCACGUCAACAACAAGAAAGUCGUUUACCGCGGUAAAGUUUGCACUGGGAAUCCGUUAGACGGUGAAGUCCACCCUGCCAGUGUAUGCUCCCGGCUAAACUUUAUGACAGUGACAGACCUAGCAAGUGGCACGUUCUCUGACCUCCGGUAGCAUCGGCCUGGCCACCCGACUCACAAAGUGAGCGUUCAGGACUACCGGCGCAGAACCCACCGCCUUAACGACCUGAAGACUAACGGACGUGUGGAUAAGUCCAACACCACCCUUGGAAGUUGUGCCAGCGGCUCUUCUUCCGCGGCUUCGUGGUUCGACGACGACGUGUACUCGGGCGUAGGCGCGGUGGCUCCUACUGCGGCUUGAAGCACGGCCGCGGCUAGCGGCACGGCGGCGAGCGCUGGCGAGGGUAGUCGCAGCCCUACCGGGUCUUGUCGGGCGGCAGGUCCCCGUGCGAGUCGCUCAGGAGGCCCUCGGGCUACUUGGUCCCGCACGGCCGGCGCCGGUGAGGGUCGUUGUCGCCGGACAGGUCGUACGGGACCUUCACUCGAGUCACAGACAGACGUACGGUAGCAGCAGUCACUGGUCGAACUGCAUCUUAGGACUUCGUCUUCUCUCCCUUUUUUUUUGGACUUGAUCUACAAUGGCAACGGAAUCGCAUUAAAGCACCAGCUCUGACAAACAAAUCCGCAACUUGACAAAUUACACAGCAGCACCCAACAACAAUCGGGCCUACAGCACCUAAUUACACAGCCUAAUAGCAGCACAGCAGCAGCUCAAAUUGGCCACCAAUACUAUUUAAAUACUUGGAAACUAUUAACCACAAGAGACGACCCACACACCGACACUACGACUACCAAUAAGAAAAACCAAAACCAAAACCAAAAACGUUCAAAAGGCCACCAUAACGAUUAGAAAGACGACGACACUACGACUACCAAAAAGACAAACCUGAAGAAAGAGAGAGAGAGAAAAAAAAAACGUUUAAAAGGCCACGACGAGGAUCAGAAGGAGAAAGACGACGGCAACGAGCCAAAACGGUCGCUCACGCAGAAGUCGAGACCAAAUGCCAGAAGCAUCUUAUGCAGAAGUCCUCCUCCGCUGCCAAAUCUCUAGUGUCCUCCGCAGGUCUACGACCCAGCAGAGCGACCACGACCCAGGGUGUAGAAGAGAAGGUGUGUCGUGUCCGCGAUGUCGGGUUUGCUCUUCUGCCGGUUCUCUUCUGUGGUAGCCGCGUGCUCUGAACGCCGCGGGUGGUUGGAGCUGCGCGGCCUUGGGAUCGGUCGGCGGGUACCCAUAGCGGCCUCCCGCCGCGGUCAUCGCCCUUUGCCCUCCUCCUCCUCCUCCUCUCGCCUUCGCCUUGGGCGCGCGCGCCACAUCUAAUCCUCCCCUCCUCCCCGCUCUACAGACACGCCUAGUUCCGCCACCACCUGUCCAAGCACUUCCUCGACGUCCUCCGCGACCUGCGCCUGUAGGUCCUGGCGUAGUACUUCCUCGCCCUCUACGUCUCGAUGUAGGUCCUCGCGCUCGCGCUCCAGCGGCUCUCCCUCCGGCGGACCUUCCGGCUCGAGAGGGCGGCGCUCCGACUCUAACGCGCCGUUCUCCGCUCCGACUUCUACCUUUUUCUCUUGGACCUCUUCCUUUUUUCGCAGGAGUACCCUUGGCGGAGGUUAGUUCUGUUGGUCCUGCCUCGGGAGCUCUAGUGGCAGUCGCCGCUCUUCAUGUCCACGGAAGCAAAGAGGUUCCGCUUCUUCACUGUCCUGCUUGCUCCGCGGCUCCUCUGCCGGCACAUGACUUCAUCCCCAUCUAGACACAUGGUUUAGCGGUCGCAACCCGGACUAAAACUAAGUUUAACCUAAGAAAGACAUGUCCCUUAAGAAUUCUACACGCAACACGCGUUAUUUUACGUAUCGUCGAGUACGGCUCGAUUCCUAAAAGU